GAAAUGCGAUAAGUAGUGUGAAUUGCAGAAUUCCGUGAAUCAUCGAAUCUUUGAACGCACAUUGCGCCCUUUGGCAUUCCGAAGGGCAUACCUGUUCGAGCGUCAUUUCAAACCUCAAGCACAGCUUGGUUUUGGGUGUCUUUUUGUCUUGCCUCCGCAGGACUCGCCUUAAAUUUAUCGGCUGUCUGCAUGUCAACUCCGGCGCCCAGUACAUUGUGGCACCGUGUUGUGCUGUACAGAUGCGCCGUACAACACUGACCUAUUAUUUUCUGUUUUGACCUCGGAUCAGGUAGGAAUACCCGCUGAACUUAA
rnacentral:misc_RNA from 1 species